UACGAACCGUGCGAACGUUGUUCGGAAUCACUGGGCUUAAAGGGCGCGUAGGCGGGCUCAAAAGUCAGGGGUGAAAUCCCACGGCUCAACCGUGGAAGUGCCUUUGAUACUGUGAGUCUCGAGGGAGGUAGGGGCGUGCGGAACUUCCGGUGGAGCGGUGAAAUGCGUAGAUAUCGGAAGGAACACCGGUGGCGAAGGCGAGUCCCUGGACAACACCUGACACUGAGGCACGAAAGCUAGGGGAGCAAACAGG
rnacentral:rRNA from 1 species